rnacentral:rRNA from 1 species
CCUACGGGAGGCAGCAGUGGGGAAUAUUGCACAAUGGGCGCAAGCCUGAUGCAGCCAUGCCGCGUGUGUGAAGAAGGCCUUCGGGUUGUAAAGCACUUUCAGCGGGGGGGAAGGCGUUAAGGUUAAUAACCUUGGCGAUUGACGUUACCCGCAGAAGAAGCACCGGCUAACUCCGUGCCAGCAGCCGCGGUAAU